rnacentral:rRNA from 1 species
CCUACGGGAGGCAGCAGUGGGGAAUAUUGGGCAAAGGAGGAAACUCUGACCCAGCGACGCCGCGUGAGGGAUGAAGGCCUUCGGGUUGUAAACCUCUUACAGUAGGGAAGAAGCGAAAGUGACGGUACCUACAGAAGAAGCACCGGCUAACUAUGUGCCAGCAGCCGCGGUAAUACAUAGGGUGCAAGCGUUGUCCGGAAUUAUUGGGCGUAAACAGCUCGUAGGUGGUUCGAUACGUCGGAUGUGAAAAUCAGGGGCUCAACCCCUGACCUGCAUCCGAUACGGUCGAGCUAGAGUUUGGUAGGGGAGACUGGAAUUCCUGGUGUAGCGGUGGAAUGCGCAGAUAUCAGGAGGAACACCGAUCGCGAAGGGCAGGUCUCUGGGCCAAUACUGACACUGAGGAGCGAAAGCGUGGGGAGCGAACAGGAUUAGAUACCCUGGUAGUCCACGCCGUAAACGGUGGGCGCUAGUUGUGCGAACCUUCCACGGUUUGUGGGACGCAGCUAACGCAUUAAGCGCCCGGCCUGGGGAGUACGAUC